GGGCCUAUAGCUCAAUUGGGAGAGCACCGGCUUUGCAAGCCGGGGGUUAGGAGUUCGAGUCUCCUUAGGUCCA
rnacentral:tRNA from 1 species